rnacentral:tRNA from 1 species
UCCCUGGUGGCUCAGACGGUAAAGCCUCUGCCUGCAAUGCGGGAGACCUGGGUUCGAUUCCUGGGUCGGGAA